rnacentral:lncRNA from 1 species
GUGCCCUUCAUCAUCUUGUGAGCAUCUGGGCCAAGUUCAGGGCUGGUGCUCUCGUUCAGAUAGAUUUAGCUGGUGGUGCAGAGAUCCGUGAGCUUGCUUUUACAGGACUUUAAUGAUAUAUAAAAGCAGCACGAGGUGCUCCUGACUGUGGAUUAAUUUGGAGAUGACUUUCUCUGUUGAAGAGUAGCAAGACUCUCGCGAGUUCUUAAAAAUGCACUUGUUUGGUAUGAGAAUGAAAAGCAGUGGCUGAAGAACCAAUCUUCAAUGGGCAAGCCUUCUCUGUGUCUGUUCUAACACGUGCCAUUUGGGAUCCCUUGGAAUCUUCAUGUACAGAACUGGUUGCUGCCUCGUUGAGUCGGUGGGGACAGAAUAGCUCCUGGUUGACAGCAUGGGUUGUGCAGAAGGACGGAUCCUGCAGACAUCAAUAUCUGGCUUUGAGUGGCACAAAGAAAUAAAGGAAUGUGGAUUCAGACCUCACUGGGAUGCUUGGCAAUUCUAAUUCUACCCCAGACUGCAAAUGGACACACAACUGUUGUGACUUUUGUUGAAGAGGAGAAGGAUGGUGAAGGUCUCUUUAGUCAAUAAUCUCUUUGCUGAAAUUGCUUCGGGCAGCACAGAAGCUGGAUUCAGAAGCACACAGGUCUGGGGAUGCAGGCUUCGGCCAGCCUGAUGCAAGGAAAGACUGCCAUCUCGUGGUCAGCUCAAUCCUGGCACCUUGGUGAGGGACCAGGCUGCAGAAAACCAGGCUUGGGGAGGAAACGGUGCUGCAAACUGGAUUUCUGCCGGACAGUGUGGAUGCCCUUAGAAAACACCCAGAAAAGAGCUGAGUGCCCCCCAAGAUAUCACCUUUUGUCGGAACUUGGAGUUGGUAAUGACCUUCACCAUACCACCACUCUGGGACUGAGCUUCUCUCUACCCUGAUGCAAGAGACCCUAAUAGGCAGGAAUAUGACCACCCCUAUUCAGCCUGAAGAAGUUACAGAAGUUCUGAAACCCUUAGAAAUGAGGGUCUUCUUGUAAAGGGAGUGGGGAGAUAUAUCAGAGGCAUUUGAACCAGAGCAACUCCAUCUUGAGUGAGGGCUAGGAAAAUGAGGCUAGGACUUGCUGGGCUGCAUUCUCAGAAAGUCAGUCAUUCCUAGCCUCUAGAUGUUUACGGUUAAGGGAACAAAUUUAUAACAUUUACUAAACACACCCAGACUUGGGAGUGUCCAGAUAUCCCAAUAUCUGGAGAACAAAGGCAUUCCUAAUUUUGCUUUAAAGACAAUAAUAUUGAUUCUUGCAAAAUAUAGUAAUUAAGAAAAUUAAUCCUUUAUCACAAACCCUUGUAGUAAAACACAUCUCCCCAUAUAUACAAGCAUUGUACCUAAGGUGGAUGCGUUCCAUCUCUUACUUUCAGGAAUGUCCUACACUAUCUAAGGAGUAGCUGUACUUUCACCACUUUACUUUCUUAAUAAACUUGUUUUUACUUUGCACCAAGGACUUGCACUGAAUUCUUUCUUGCGUGAGAUCCAAAAACCCUCUGUUCGGGUCUGGAUUGGGACCCCUUUCCUAUAACAUCCUUCUGGCAACCACAGAAGGGACUAUAGUGUGGAAACUCCCUUCCUAAAUGCUGCUUUUGGGUAAGUGUUGGAGUCCUGUA